rnacentral:lncRNA from 1 species
CGUUUUUCGUCGAUUUGUUUUGCUCUUCUCCUUCCUGUGACUGUUCCUCUUUAUUUAAUCCUCAUUUCGUUGCUUUUCCUUUCGGUGCUGCCGGUUGCAAAAAACAAGGAGUUUAUUAUGGGUGUCGAUCUCAUAUAUGGGUUUCCUUUUUCUAAUCUGAGUCGUCAGCUUCAUCUUCUGGCUUGGUUAAGCUGAUUCGGUUUCACGGGAGGUUUUGUGCAAGCUUCGUCGUUACCCUCAAUACACCGUUGUUCUGUUAUCAGCUGGUUUUUGUGUUUUUUUUUUCUCAUUUUAUGGGUUUGCUGGUUGUUUUGUGUGGUUUGCCGGAUUCUCUGUUGUCGGGUGGUAUGUUCGUUGGAGUCUUCGGUGGUUUUGUGUACUUGAUCAAAGAUUGGCGAUUCUAGAUUUUGGCCUUCUUGGUGGUUGGUUU